AGGCGCGUAGCUCAGCGGUGGAGCGCUACCUUCACACGGUAGAAGUCAGGGGUUCGAUACCCCUCGCGCCUA
rnacentral:tRNA from 1 species